GUAGGUGGCAAGCGUUGUCCGGAGUUAUUGGGCGUAAAGCGCGCGCAGGGCGGUCCUUUAAGUCUGAUGUGAAAGCCCACGGCUCAACCGUGGAGGGUCAUUGGAAACUGGGGGACUUGAGUACAGAAGAGGAAAGCGGAAUUCCAAGUGUAGCGGUGAAAUGCGUAGAGAUUUGGAGGAACACCAGUGGCGAAGGCGGCUUUCUGGUCUGUAACUGACGCUGAGGCGCGAAAGCGUGGGGAGCAAACAGGAUUAGAUACCCUGGUAGUCCACGCCGUAAACGAUGAGUGCUAAGUGUUAGGGGGUUUCCGCCCCUUAGUGCUGCAGCUAACGCAUUAAGCACUCCGCCUGGGGAGUACGGCCGCAAGGCUG
rnacentral:rRNA from 1 species